GUUUGAAAUUCAGUCCGCACUCCUUUGUUCCACCCCUCGACCCCGGCUGCAUCUGGCGACGCCGCCACCUCGCCGCCAGCCCGCGUCAUCCGCCGCCCCUUGCCGGCACGCGCUCUCCCCGUCCGCCUCCGGCCUCCAUCAUCUCCGCACCGGCGACCUCCCCUUGCCUCCUCCUUCUUCCCUUCUCUUCCACCUAGAUUGAGAAGGGAAGCCAUGGCGCUCCCGCAGCGGCUAGAUCCAGACCAGCACGACCCUUCCUGUCAAUCCCAUCUCCACUCCAGCGCGCCGCCACCUCUGUCCCCACCCCGCCGGCGCGCCGCCAGCCCGCCUCCCGUCACCGCACGCCGCUGCCCCUCCCUCGCCGCGCGCUGCCGGAGUGCCUACCCCUGCCCCAAGUUACCCCAGCAACAGCCGCCACCGCCAGCAGCAGCAGCAGCAGCCGGAGAUCCCAUCUUGGGGCCGGCGCUGGUCGAGGAAGGCCCGAGUGGCGCCGCCGGCCGAGAAGCCCGCGCCAGAUGACGAUAGGAGCGAGGGCGUCGCCAGCCCGGACACCCCCGAGGACGACGAGCACGACGAGGCAGUAGCGACGGAGGACGAGGCCAAAGCCAGCGCGCAGGACAAGUGGGCGCAGGAGCAGCGCGGCGUGGUUGCGAGCUUGUCCCACGAGAACGCCCAUCUCCUAAAGGCAAUCUUCUUGACAAAGCUGAGGAUAGUGAAUGGCGGGGAUGAUGGUGCUGGAGAGCCGCCCCCUAUUGGCGUGAAAGCGCACGCUGGACUGUGGGACCUUAGCCAUGCCGAGUUCAACAAUAGAGUUCGGGUAAUUCAUAGAGAGGAGGAGGAUGGAGAAGGCUGCUAGAGCCUGAUAUAUUCGUUGUGACUUGGGCCUGACCAUUUGGAGAGGUAUAUGUUGAACUGGUGAGUAUCGUGGAUGAGCUCGUCUCGACCAUGUCAGGAUACAUGGAUGAUCAGGUGGUGUGGAUGAUCAGGUGGUGAACGGCCGACUUGGGUUCGGGUGUCAUGUCAAAAUAGAAGGCACAUCCAUGUGCAUGUAUGUGUGUGAGAGAGAAGAGGGGUCUUUAGACAUCACAGAAGCCGGACAUGCGAUAUUUUUCUUUUCCCGUUGCAACGCACGGGCAUUUUUGCUAGUAAUAAUAAACAUAAUAAUGUGGGCGAAUAUAUGCUCGGUCGGUCGAUCUUGACCAAACGUAACGUUGCCCCACUCUUAAGUGUAAUCAACUAGCUAGUAGAAUCAUGUUGUCAAUAUAAAAAAGAAUCAUGUUGCCAAUAUAAAAUGUUUUUCUUUGACCAAAGUGGCGAUCGAACAAGAACCGAAGUCCCGACAUGAAAAGUUGAGAACAUUUGACCUCUGGCCGGCUGGAACAUUACAGAUGCUGCCGCGCGUCCUCGAUCGUCGCCGUCCAGCAGCAGGAGCAAAAAGCAUGCACCGGGCCAGUGUAUGGGAACAAAUUAACAUGGGACGUUAUUUUCCGAGCGGAGUGAUCGGGAUGCCGCCGGGUCUCUUCGCACUUUACUUUGCCUUUUCGCGCACUGUCACCGAGACUGUUCUUGAUUCCUUCCGCGAAGGAGGGAGGGAGGGAGUCGAUGCGCCCUACCAGCCCGCGACACGUGGCGCUGCUCCAUUAGCGCGAUCGACGACGACCCGGUGCGCACCAACGCUAUUGUGAGGUCACGAUUGCACCAGCCACCGGCCGUACGUGAAGUAUAAUUCUACCCAUUUUAAAAAAAUAUACUUCUACCCAGUAAUCUAGUAGGGCGGAUCCAGGCUUUAAAUUAUCUGGUGUCCACAUAGAAGAACACAUGCCUACGUAUCAAACAAUUGAAUAGCCUACACACUAAACCAAUAAGUAAGUGCAAAUUGCACCCGGUGCCAGUGACACCGGCUAGAAGUACGUAGCUCAGCCCCUGGUUACAUAGAAACAAAAGGUUAUACAUUUAUUCCCACCCCCCUGCAAGGCGACUAGAGUAAAGCUUUCCUUCCCUUGAUCUUUGCCGGUAACGGGGAGGGAAAUCAAUGAUGCCUCGACUCUGGCUAGCCGAUAGGUUAGGGUUUUAAUCUUCGCAGGGGAGGCACUCGAACAGAUGAUGGUACUUCUUAUUUGAGCUGUCUUUUGGGCUUCGAUCCACCUCAAGUUUGUCCGUCGAUAUGGAUUACAAGGAGCUCCGGCUAGAUUCCUGCCAGCUGCUUGGGCGGCAGGGUUAUUUUUUAAUCGUGCAUACACAACAAUGAGUUUUCGUGUCAGCCUUUCUGAUCGAUUCAGGCUUCGGGGUGCUGUUCCUUGGUGGCACGUGCACGAAGAGUGCCGAAUUGCCAUCAGGCCAGCUCCGGUAUGGGAAUGGCGGUAACGAUGACUUGUUCUGAAUGCGGAACUACUAUGCAGCCGAUGCUCAUUGCACGAUCAGUGAACGAUGCUUGGAUCCAGCGGAUGUGCUCCAUCUUGUCCCAUGCAUGCACGGUUGGAUCAAUAGGAUCGUCCAAAGUUCGGCUGCACCCUGUCGUGUGUAUAGCAGCGCCGUUCUGAAUGGUCGUACGGCGAUCCAAAGGCCUUGAUGUAAUUUUUUAUUAUGUUGGACAUGCUUUAUACGUACUUCCCGUGAAUGGACUAGUCUUUAGUAAAAACGUUGGAGGUGAGAGAAAUUAACAGACUGUCAUCGCAACUUUUUUAACAAAGUGUGAACCGAUCGGCUGAAGGAGAAUGAUCAAAAGCAACUCCACUAGUCACGCCUCCAGCCUACAUGUGACCCAGCUGUAGUCAAUCCCGCCGGCCUAGUCGGUCCCGUAGAUAAUUCAGCCAUUACCAUUCAUGCUGCCUUCCUCUCUCCCGUCCCGUCCAUGGAGCGGUUAACCUCUCUAGCUCCGGCCUCUACAUAAUCUCGACGAGAGCGUGCACCCUGCAAACAAGCGUUCUCUGCCAGGUCCUUAAUUAGUCUUGAAAGCCUAGCGUAGCAGGUGGGAGAUAGCUGCCUUGCAAGGGCAUGCAUAGUGAGCUAUCUGCGCGCGUAGUUUCACAGAUGCUGCCGCCGAUCGAGAUCCAUGGAGAAUGGCGAGGCGCGCGAGGUGGAGAAGCAGGGCACGUGCAUUCAUUUCCAGGUCGCUUCCCGGCGUCCGGCCGGCACGCACCGCCGCGGCGGCCUUGCUUGGUCAGUGUGUCGCUCGAUCCGGCCGUGCGCCGGCAGCCGGCCCAUGCAUGCAUGUGCCUUUCUUCUCCACCGUGCACACCUCGCCUGCGUGUGCUCGCCCGUAUGUGGUGGUGUCAGCUGUGCGUGAUAUCAGAAGCUAGCUAGCCAUCGACACGGUCCGCCGAGCUUGCAGCUCCACACGGCAAGAAGCUAGCCGCGGUUAUUUGGUGUUUUGGAAGCAGACCGCAGUCUGCAGCCAGGUAUGAAACUGCAGCAUAUGGCUUCAUUUUCGACAAUACCACUCUUCUUAAUUUGUCCGUGCCGAUAUAUAUGUUCUUCUCCAUCUUUUCAAACUCUGAAAGAAAAACAUUUUAUGCUAGUACUCCAUCUGUUCCUAAAUAUAACUCUUUUUAGAGAUUCCACUACAUACUACAUACAGAGUAAAAUGAGUGAAUCUACACUCUAAACAUGUCUACCUUCAACUUCGACUAUGCUAGUUUUUGUUUGCCGGGAAUGCGAGGCCUCGCUGUUUAUCUGUUGAUCACUAAAUGUAAUGCAUAGACCUUUGACAAGGAUAAUUGAAGAACUGUUAUUCUUCUACCUUUUCGAAAAAAGGACUAUACAUACGUGAGCAAAUUUCUUGAACUGCUGGUUGUGUUUGCUACACUCCAUACACUUUUCUUGGGAUGAUUUUGUGACGAUAGUUGCUGAGAUGCCGGUUCAGUAGUGUUGUUGCAGGUCUUAUCAUCUUUUCCUCUAUUUAUUUUUUCUUUUCUUGUAAGCCUAUCGAUUUUUAUACUGUUACACUUGCAGUUCAUGUAGCCUGAUCGAUGCCCGGCUGAUAUUUUAAUGUUUGCAGAAAUAUAUGUUCAGGUGGGCCCUUUGACCUUGCUGGUUCUUCAGUUCACAAAAGAUACCAAAGUAGUGUAUACUUCAAAGCCACUUUGCAUAUAUCUUUGAAAUGAAUUGUUGCUUUGCAUAUCUUGUCUAAAUUGGCAAUGAGGCCGCUCCCACAACCUGAUUAGUUGUCGUAUGUUUCGUUGUUCCUGGGAUAUCUAAUCCCUACCUAUGUAACUGAACUUCCUUUGCUCAUCCUCUGAAAUGCAUUGGCAGUACAGCUGCUUUUUCCCCAAAGAAAACAUUCUCUUUUGAUUGUAAUUAAAUUUCUACAUCAAGUACUCCCUCUGUUCCUAAAUAUAAGUCUUUGUAGAGAUUUCAAUAUGCACUACAUAUAGAUGUAUAUAAACAUAUUUUAGAGUGUAGAUUCACUCAUUUUGCUC